CCUUCUCGGGGUAGACGCCGUCAGCAGGGUGCAGGUACUGCACCUUGCCGUCGGGGAAGACGCGGUAGAAGCAGGGGGUCAGCUUGAACUUGUUGCGGAGCUGGGUCGUCAGGGCGAGGCACUGCUCCUUCUUGCCGAACUUCAGCAGGUUGGGGCCCUGGCGCAUGAUAGCGGCACCGCCAGUGGGCAUCUCGAAGAUCUGCUCCUUCUUAGCCUCCCAGGUGAUGACGUAGAACUCCUCAGUCUGAGCCUUGCGCAGCAGACCGCCGGUGCUGCCACCGAAAAUCGGGCUGGGAGUGUCGGGGUUCAGGGUCGGCACAGUCCAGGCGGGCUUCUCAGCAGCCUUCUUGGCAGCAGCAGGGGCAGCCUCAGCCUCGGCGCGGACCACCACGGCGCGGCGAGCAGCCGGGCGAGCGGCAACAGCGACGCGCGAUGAAGCGCGAGUGGCAGCGGGCGCCUGGGUGCGCAUCAUGACGGCCAUUUUGGCUUGUUGUGAGUAGCAGUGGGGUC
rnacentral:lncRNA from 1 species